rnacentral:rRNA from 1 species
AACGAACGCUGGCGGCGUGCCUAACACAUGCAAGUCGAACGAGAAAGGGAUUUCGGUCCUGAGUAAAGUGGCGCACGGGUGAGUAACACGUAGGUAACCUACCUCUAAGUUUGGGAUAACCUGUCGAAAGAUGAGCUAAUACUGAAUAAGACCACAGUUUCCUCGGAAGCAGGGGUCAAAGGUAGCCUCUAUUUAUAAGCUAUCACUUAGAGAUGGGCCUGCGUACCAUUAGCUAGNGGUGAGGUAACGGCUNACCAAGGCAAAGAUGGUUAGCUGGUCUGAGAGGAUGAUCAGCCACACUGGAACUGAGACACGGUCCAGACUCCUACGGGAGGCAGCAGUGGGAAUAUUGCGCAAUGGCGAAAGCCUGACGCAGCAACGCCGCGUGAGUGAUGAAGGCC